CGAUAAAAGUUUCAUAAUCCCUGAAAAAGGCAUAUCUCGCUUCUCUCAGUCAUGCUCAAUGCUCAUACAGAUACGAAACCCACGCUCACCCACAGAGGCUCUACAGUUUGCAGUCUUGUCUCUCAUCUCUUGAAAUGAUGAGCAAACAAAGUCAUGAAAGUGCCUGAAUAGGGAACAGAACAAAGAAAGCCUAGCAAGAAUCGCAAAUGUUCCCGGAGCAAUAUUCGCCAACAAAGUUUCAUGGGUCAGCUGUGCAGGAGUGUUUUUGCAACAGACAAACGAUGGUCGUCCACAUCCACAAUGACAAUCCUGGGUGCCCCAAAAGCACAAGCUAAAAGCAUUGUGACAAGUCCAAUGGGACCUGCUCCCAUGAUCAGCACAUUUUUUUCUGGUCCAACACUAGCUUGGCGACAAGCAUGAACAGCAACACUCAGGGGUUCACACAUUGCCCCCUCCUCCAUGCUCACAUUGUCUGGCAGUUUAAAGCAUAGGUCUGCAGGAUACACUAUCUACCAAAAGAAAAGUUCAGCUCAAACAUUUUGAAUUCUAUCCUUCACCAUAUUAUAGCUAUUAAAUUGGGGCCACAAUGUGAGCAACUGAUUCCAGGCUCAAUUACCACACGGUCACCAGGUACGAGAUUCUUAACCUCACUACCAACUUCCUCUAUGAUCCCUGCACAUUCAUGGCCAAUCACCAUUUGUUCUUUCACUAUAAAAUCUGCUAUUCUCAUUGUCUGCAAAUGCAUAGAAUAGAAACUUGUUACUGGAAAGAAUAUAGAUUAAUGAGCGCAAUAAUUUAUGACUCGAGCAACGAUAAUUAUUGCUUAUAUACUUUUUGUUGUGACAUGAUUCUUAUGCGGAAGAAAAAUGUUUACCUUGAGGUAGUGAACAUCACUGCCACAGAUGCCAACAGCUUUCAUUCGAAUUUUGACAUCAUAUGGACCUUCCAAUAGGCAAAGAGAAGCAAGUCAAUGAAAUUGAGAAGGAAUUCACUGAUAAGUGAAUAUUAGUAACUUGGGAAAAUUUCAGCGAGGGAUCCUUGACAAAAGAUAAUGAAAAAGAUGACCUCUGAAUUUUUGAAAUUUCACUGAAGGACCUAUACAGAAUUUUGUUUGAAUUUGUGAUAGAAAUGACAAAAUUAUCCUCAUUUAAAUGAACAAUAUAAACGAUUUGUUCGUUUCCAUAUUGUAUGUUAUUCAUUUACUUACGGAAUGUUGUUUGUUUUCUUACUUCACUUGUUUAUAGCUUUAGCUUUACUUGAUUUCAUUCCAAGUGUUGGUUUUAUGAUAAAAUCACUUAUUUGUUCCCAUACUGUAUGUAAUUUAUUUACUUACGGAAUGUUGUUCGUUUCCUUACUUUUCUUGUUUAUGGUUCUGGAAUGAAAUCAAAUGAAAGCAAGACCAUAAACAAGCGAAAUAGGAACAUGAAUAAUAUUCUAUAAGUAAACGAAUAACAUAUAGUAUGGGAAUGAAUAAGUCAUUUAUGUUAUUCAUUUAAAUAAAGGCAAUUUUGUCAUUUUCGUCACAAAUUCAAAUGAAAAUCCGUACGAGUCCUUAAGUGAAAUUUCAGAAAUUCAAGGGUCCUCUUUUUCAUUUUCUCUUAUUAAGGGUCCCCCAUUGAAAUUUUUCCUAGUAAUUUUAACCUUGGAAGAAAAUAGAGUUACUCAAAGGGAGAAUAAUAUAUAGCCAGAGUAGGGAGCUUGAAAGGCUAAAUCUUGAGGGUGUUUAUGCCAACAAGCCAUUGCCCAUAUUUUCUUCUUCCCCAGAGCUUCACCACCUUUACCCAUUUGCUUUCUACAACUCUCUUCCCUGACUCGCCAAAAUGAAAGACAGAGAAACAGUAGCGCCGGUGGGGCUUCUAGCUGAUCACUACAGAACAUGAAUUUUAUGAUAUUUAUAUGCAAGUCUCUUUCUAUUUCAGUGCAUAUGAAUCAGCCGCUCUCAUCCAUAUGUAUCUAUCUGAUGUGUUUCUUCAUAUUCAUAAAUUCAUAUACGAAUCAGAUUCAGAUGCAUCGCUGCGUGUGGCUCAUCAGUCAAAAGGUGAGCUAUUUCAAACCAUAUUAGACUCAUUGCACAACUAUGGAUAGGUUAAUUGUUGAUGAUGAUGGAAAUACUACUGAUACGACCUUCAUUGUGGUGGCUUAGGAAGUAUUCGAACAAUUUAAUAUGUGGUGCAUCAAUGAUAUCAUUGCCUUUGUCUUA